CCCGACCAGCAUUAUCCUGUAAAAUGGGUUAGAAAUCCUAUUAUUUUGAAACUGGCGAGGCUCAACAGACGACCACACAUGUUCUCCUAACAAAUUACCUUCUGAUUCCACCAAGACAGAUCCAGAGAGCGGCGAUGGACCCGACGCACCACGACUAUGACUGUCCACGAGAUUGGACAUUCGGUCACCAGAUGAAGAGCCAACAAACUCACGAUUAAAAUGGAAGUAGUAUCGCUGGGCAAAAUUAUCAAAGUGCCUGCAAAUCUGGCAUUAAAGACGAGUGCGAAACCCUCGACCGCGAUCUCCAGACGAGAACCAACCGCCCCGAACAGAGCCCACCUGUGACGGAGUAGCUUCCAAAAGGUUCGCACAAAGAGGUACAUCCUGUACCACACGCGCGGACUGACUCUCAUAUUCAAGCAGCAAAUUGACUAAACGCUGAAGCGGUAGAGGCUCCGACAAAAACGACGUGAGGGUGAUGACCAAAUCAAACUCUUGAGUCGAGAGAGUUUUGUACUUAUAACGGCAGUGAAGAGAUGAGUGGCAGUGCUCCACACAUCACAUGCCAUUCGAGCCUCUGUAAAGGAUGGGAGAAGUGAGGAACUAAUCGUGGACAAUAGCAAGAAGUGAGUAACCGAUCUUGCUAAAUAAACGCCGAGGCGUCCGGAUUCGGAACAAGCGAGCCUUCGGAAGUUGGCACAAAUCGCGGUGUUGCGGAUACCAUCCCAUCCAAAAAACCAGUUAGCUCGUAUCUUUCAACUAUCAAUCUAACAUGUUGCUUCCACUGAACAAAUGUGCGUUCAUCCAAUUUGACAGUCUCAUGAUGCGGGAACGAGUGAACAAGCCUAGCCUCAGUGAACACCGAACCUCCAUGUUCGACGGAGGCAGAAUCUGCAGAAGUCGUGGUGGUCAUGUACACAAAUCUCCAUCACCUUAGGCGACUGAUACCAUGUUAACACCUUCGGUGAGAAAUAUAUUGUGUAAAGAAAUAACACUAUCUCAAAUAUUGAAAACUGGAAAAUAUAUCUAGUAUGAAUGAAUUCUUUUUAUUCUCUGUUCUUUGUUUUA